rnacentral:rRNA from 6 species
UGUCGAUGAAGAGCGCAGCAAACUGUGGGAAUUCAUGUGAACUGCAUGCUCAUUUGAACAUUGACAUCUUGAACGCACAUUGCGGCCACGGGUCCGCCCGUGGCUACGUCUGUCCGAGGGUCG